CUCACCGCUGGUUGCCCGCUGCUGUGAGGCGCUGAGGUACUUCCCGCCCUCGCUGUGAGGGUCCCGCUCUUCGCACCUCUUCUCCACCGGGAGAGCCCUCGGGAAAGCCAUUUUUCUUCUCAACGGAAGCUUAAGCCAGUUUCCCGGAGGGUCUGAUGGCACAAAAAGGCUGAGGUGCCUCUAGCUUGCUCCAGUGCCUCUUAAGAAGCGAGUGAAGUCAUGGCCUGGUGCUUUGAUAAGAGGUGCUGUCCUCCUCCUGUUUGCUUCAGAAUGCUGUAAAAGAAGCUCAGAUUCAGAAUUACAGAAGUGGUGAGAACAAAAAGGAAAGGUCAGAAGUGCAGAGAGACAGAAACUCAGAUGAAAUUUUCAGCAGGUGGAGUGAGUGCUUUGGUAGCAGGACAGCUUCAGAGGUUGGCCUCCAUGAAAAGAGACCUCCAUCUCCAACAGAGCCAUUGAUCUCUGAAAUACACCUGCUGCACAAUGAAGUUGAGCCCACAAAACAGUGAAGUGGACUCUGGGAAACAGAAGGAUAUUAUGAGAAUGUGUUUUUAUUUUUAACCAGCAACAAAUUAAAUCAACCUUCCCCAAGUUGAGUCUAUUUUGUCACCAGUAGCAAUUGGUAAGUGAUCUCCUUUUCUUUAUUUCAACAAAAAUGUUGCUGCCAUGCAAUUUACUGGCAUUAGGAAACAGCGAUAAAACUUUAAAU